CACAUGUGCGCGAGUCUAAGGGUUGUCUAAACCUGGAGGCGAAAUGAAAGUGAGCUCCUAUUUUGGGCGCAGGCCGAKSMCUUGYCGURRYSYGGMYYGKGCARSGSGCGACUCUCUCUCCGGGGGGAGUUUCCUUAUCCCGAUGUCCGCCGGCAAGUACCUGAGAGCGCAGCCGUUGGGACCCGAAAGAUGGUGAACUAUGCCUGGCGAGGACGAAGCCAGAGGAAACUCUGGUGGAGGUCCGAAGCAGUUCUGACGUGCAAAUCGAUUGUCAGAGCUGGGUAUAGGGGCGAAAGACUAAUCGAACCAUCUAGUAGCUGGUUCCCUCCGAAGUUUCCCUCAGGAUAGCUGGCGUUGAACUGAUGAGUUUCAUCCGGUAAAGCGAAUGAUUAGAGGCCUUGGUGGUGCAAUGCCGUCAACCUAUUCUCAAACUUUAAAUGGGUGAGAUGUAGAGCUUGCUUGAGACG
rnacentral:rRNA from 1 species